GUAGGUGGCAAGCGUUGUCCGGAAUUAUUGGGCGUAAAGCGCGCGCAGGCGGUUCUUUAAGUCUGAUGUGAAAGCCCACGGCUCAACCGUGGAGGGUCAUUGGAAACUGGAGAACUUGAGUACAGAAGAGGAAAGCGGAAUUCCACGUGUAGCGGUGAAAUGCGUAGAGAUGUGGAGGAACACCAGUGGCGAAGGCGGCUUUCUGGUCUGUAACUGACGCUGAGGCGCGAAAGCGUGGGGGAGCAAACAGGAUUAGAUACCCUGGUAGUCCACGCCGUAAACGAUGAGUGCUAAGUGUUAGGGGGUUUCCGCCCCUUAGUGCUGCAGCUAACGCAUUAAGCACUCCGCCUGGGGGUACGGCCGCAAGGCUG
rnacentral:rRNA from 1 species